rnacentral:rRNA from 1 species
AGGACAAACGCUGGCGGCGUGCCUAAAACAUGCAAGUCGUACGGUCCUUCGGGACAGUGGCGGACGGCUGAGUAACGCGUGGGCAACCUACCCUGGAGUGGGGAAUAACCAUCCGAAAGGAUGGCUAAUACCGCAUACGACCACAGGCCUCCGGGCCUGUGAGGAAAGUCGCAAGGCGCUCUAGGAUGGGCCCGCGUCCGAUUAGCUAGUUGGUGUGGUAACGGCGCACCAAGGCUGCGAUCGGUAGCUGGUCUGAGAGGAUGAUCAGCCAGACUGGGACUGCGACACGGCCCAGACUCCUACGGGAGGCAGCAGUUAGGAAUCUUGGGCAAUGGGCGAAAGCCUGACCCAGCAACGCCGCGUGGGUGACGAAGGCCUUCGGGUCGUAAAGCCCUUUUGCACGGGAAGAUGAUGACGGUACCGUGCGAAUAAGCCCGGCUAACUACGUGCCAGCAGCCGC